rnacentral:ncRNA from 1 species
AAUGGCCGGUACAAUGAGUGGCGAUGCCGUGAGGUGGAGCGAAUCUCAAAAAGCCGGUCUCAGUUCGGAUUGGGGUCUGCAACUCGACCCCAUGAAG